CCUUCGUCGGUGUUUUUGAGGUGUGUUAUCUCUUAAAAACAUUCAAGAUGAGUAGCUCCAGUUCAAAAGCACCUAAGAGAUCGAAAAAUUUCACCGGGCACGAGAAAAGCGAAUUAACCCAAAAAAUUCAAAGGUCGCCAUGAUAUUUUCAUCAUCAUCCAGGCGCGGAAUAAAGUCUCAGGCGCUCGACCCAGUGCUGCCGCGUCGACAAAUAUAUUUUCCUUUUGGACUAUAUCAACAUAAUAUAACAUUUCAAGAUAACUGUGGUUGAAAAAUUAAAAAGGACACCGAGUAUUAUUAUUUGAAGUAAUAUAGUACUGCAAAAAUAGUAUUAUUAUCAGCUGUGAAUACUCCUUACGCGACGCACUGGUGAUGGACCACAUCAAAGAGUCCCCACUGCUCGCCGUAAAACACACCUUACUUCAACUGGGGGACUGCAGCAGUAAGAUAUAAUUCCGCGCAGUCACCAUCAUCAAAUGCAGAUCAUCAUAUUGGUUACUAUCGACAAUGUUGGAAAUCGCCAGUUUAAAACUCAAUAGCACCUUUCAAUUGUGUUUCUGAUAACUUUGUGAUGUUUCCUCAGCUCGAUUUCUAGAGUUAACGAAAGAUGUGAGAAGGUAUCUCUUGCAGGUGUAACCACUAUCUCCAAGAAGAUAUCCUGUUUUAAUUCAUCAUGGACAGAUCCUGGCCAACGGACUAGCAUGUGGCGAAAUAUUUGCGUCACAUCUUGAGAUUAUGUUAAAUAUUUGUGAUCGUUAAUGGUGGAAGUUAAAGUUUGUUGUUGUUCUUGGGCUACUGUUCCUCUGAAAAUUGUUCACGAUGGAUAGUACCAAAGUUAUGGAAAGGUCGAAAAAUUUCACAGCCCAUCAAAAAACUCAGUACAAAUAAUUCUGAGAUAUGCCCAUAUAUUAGAAAACAGAUGCAGUUUCUGUACAAGAAGAGAAUGUUGCUGAGAUCAUGUAAGACGAAUUCAAUGUUACCAUCAUUGAGGGGCCUAGGGAUGUUCAGACUAUCAAAAUUCGACACAAAACUUUAAAAAGGAAAGGGCUGAAAAAAUUAAGUUACAAGCUGGAUCUACAAUAUUUUUAUACAAUGUGGUUAUUAAUUUUUAGAAGGAAGCGUUUAUUUCUAUUAAAACAGACAACAGGGAUGAAGGUAUGAGUGCAGACGUGGGUGAUGGUGAGCUGGAAAUGACAAAUAAAUAUAAUAGAUGAAGAUUUGAUUUUUUACAAAAAAAAGGAAAUCCUGAACCUCAUAGCCCUGCCUCCUCCAUUCCGAACGAGAAAAAUAAAAU